UGUGAGAGAAACAAGGAAGGCCUUAGGAGAGGGUCUCCCCACACUUUCCUUAUGGGGGCUACUGUUUGGCUGAAAGUUGGGCCGAGCGAGUAAGAAGUUUCCUUUUCUUUUCAGAGAGCUGGCUCCUUGAAUGCAAGCCCAGGUAUGGAAGAGUGGACAGAGCAGGCCCUAGGGGCCCAGCCAGACCCGAGUCUGAAUGCUUUCUCGGACACACACUAACUUGUGGGACAUUGGCAAGUCAUCUAAGCUGCCCAAGCGUCCAUAUCCUCAGCUAAAAAAAUGGAUCAUCCCGAGUGCUCUUCAUCCAGAGAUCACGAAAGCGCUCUUAGCCUGAGAGGAGCUGAAGGAGAGCGAGCGGAGCAGAGAGACCACACCUCUCCGCUGGCCAUACCAUCAGCUUCAGCAGCCGCGGGGUGACAUUCCUGCCUCUCAGCCUGACUCACGCAUGUCCGGUGGGACUGUGAAGCAGGAGCAUGGAAUGCAGUGCAUUCCAGAGGAAAUAUUAUCAAAGACCAUUAUCAGGGCCGCCUUGUGUUUAUCUACUAGGGAACAAACGAAAAUCUCCAAGGUUGUGUCUACCUUUGGAAUGUGCCAGAUUCUUUGGGAUAACCCAGCCUGUUAUUUCCUCUCAGCUCCGGCUUUACUUUGGCUUCAGCUCUUUCCAUUCCCAGGCCCAUCUCCACCUGCCCCUCCUUGAGUGAAUAAACCUCGUCUCUGCCUU